CGGAGUGUAGAGGAGCUUGCUUUUCUAUGCUUAGUGGCGAACGGGUGAGUAACGCGUGAGGAACCUGCCUCAAAGAGGGGGACAACAGUUGGAAACGACUGCUAAUACCGCAUAAGCCCACAGAGCCGCAUGGCUCAGGGGGAAAAGGAGCAAUCCGCUUUGAGAUGGCCUCGCGUCCGAUUAGCUGGUUGGUGAGGUAACGGCCCACCAAGGCGACGAUCGGUAGCUGGACUGAGAGGUUGAACGGCCACAUUGGGACUGAGACACGGCCCAGACUCCUACGGGAGGCAGCAGUGGGGAAUAUUACACAAUGGGGGGAACCCUGAUGCAGCGACGCCGCGUGGAGGAAGAAGGUCUUCGGAUUGUAAACUCCUGUUGUUGGGGACGAUAAUGACGGUACCCAACAAGGAAGUGACGGCUAACUACGUGCCAGCAGCCGCGGUAAAACGUAGGUCACAAGCGUUGUCCGG
rnacentral:rRNA from 1 species